rnacentral:rRNA from 1 species
CCUACGGGGGGCAGCAGUGGGGAAUAUUGGACAAUGGGCGCAAGCCUGAUCCAGCAAUGCCGCGUGUGUGAAGAAGGCCUGCGGGUUGUAAAGCACUUUAAGCAGGAAAGAAGGGGUGGGAGUUAAUACCUUUCAUCAUUGACGUUACCUGCAGAAUAAGCACCGGCUAACUCCGUGCCAGCAGCCGCGGUAAUACGGAGGGUGCGUGCGGUAAUCGGAAUUACUGGGGGUAAUUCGAUCGUUGCGGGGUGAAAGCCCCGGGCUUAACCUGGGAACUGCGGUGGAUACUGUCGGGCUAGAGUGUGGUAGAGGGGAGUGGAAUUUCCGGUGUAGCAGUGAAAUGCGUAGAGAUCGGAAGGAACACCAGUGGCGAAGGCGGCUCCCUGGACUAACACUGACGCUGAGGUGCGAAAGCGUGGGGAGCAAACAGGAUUAGAUACCCGAGUAGUC